rnacentral:rRNA from 1 species
AUUGAACGCUGGCGGCAUGCCUUACACAUGCAAGUCGAACGGCAGCACGGGAGCAAUCCUGGUGGCGAGUGGCGAACGGGUGAGUAAAGUAUCGGAACGUGCCCAGUCGUGGGGGAUAACGUAGCGAAAGCUACGCUAAUACCGCAUACGAUCUAUGGAUGAAAGCGGGGGACCGUAAGGCCUUGCGCGAUUGGAGCGGCCGAUAUCAGAUUAGGUAGUUGGUGAGGUAAAGGCUCACCAAGCCGACGAUCUGUAGCUGGUCUGAGAGGACGACCAGCCACACUGGGACUGAGACACGGCCCAGACUCCUACGGGAGGCAGCAGUGGGGAAUUGUUCGCAAUGGGCGCAAGCCUGACGACGCAACGCCGCGUGGAGGAUGAAGAUCUUCGGGUCGUAAACUCCUUUCGAUCGGGACGAAUGAUCGGUGACCUAACACGUCAUCGGAAUGACGGUACCGAGAGAAGAAGCCCCGGCUAACUCCGUGCCAGCAGCCGCCGUAACAC